rnacentral:lncRNA from 1 species
GCAAGUAUCACAAUGUGUCACACUUGGUUUUAAAACAAGACCAAGUGCUAUCUAUAUGUAUGCCAGGAUCUAGUUCCAUACAUAUAGUGACGUCAUAAGUCAAUAACAGUAGCAGUAUCACGUAAAAAGAUACGAAUAAAAACUUACGAGACUAUCGAAGAUAUACAGCUUAAUUCCGAAAACGGAGGAUCCAAACUUCACAGGCAAUCGAUUGGGGGUUGCGUACACCUAGAACUUAGCAUCAUCUUCACAACAACUUCA